UCCGGUGAAUACAGAGAAAGGGCCACACCUGUUCCCAUCUCGAACACAGAAGUUAAGCCUUUCAUCGCUGAUGGUACUUGGGGGGCAGCCCCCUGGGAGAGUAAGUCGUCGCCGGGU
rnacentral:rRNA from 1 species